rnacentral:rRNA from 1 species
UACAGAGGUCUCAAGCGUUGUUCGGAUUCAUUGGGCGUAAAGGGUGCGUAGGCGGCGCGGUAAGUCGGGUGUGAAAUCUCGGAGCUUAACUCCGAAACUGCAUUCGAUACUGCCGUGCUUGAGGACUGGAGAGGAGACUGGAAUUUACGGUGUAGCGGUGAAAUACGUAGAGAUUGGGAAGAACACCAGUGGCGAAGGCGGCUAUCUGGACGGUUUCUGACACUAAGACACGAAAGCGUGGGGAGCAAACAGG